GCCUCAUUAGCUCAGUGGUAGCAGCGCAAGUCUCAUGUCUUCGAUGUGAGUGGUCCAAGACCACGUAAACUUGAGGUCGCAAGUUCAAGCCUUGCAUGGGGCA
rfam:Hypholoma sublateritium FD-334 SS-4 unplaced genomic scaffold scaffold_97, whole genome shotgun sequence.